rnacentral:rRNA from 1 species
UUAAAUCAGUUAUCGUUUAUUUGAUAGUACCUUACUACAUGGAUACCUGUGGUAAUUCUAGAGCUAAUACAUGCUAAAAACCCCGACUUCGGGAGGGGUGUAUUUAUUAGAUAAAAAACCAAUGCCCUUCGGGGCUCCUUGGUGAAUCAUAAUAACUUAACGAAUCGCAUGGCCUUGCGCCGGCGAUGGUUCAUUCAAAUUUCUGCCCUAUCAACUUUCGAUGGUAGGAUAGUGGCCUACCAUGGUAGCAACGGGUAACGGGGAAUUAGGGUUCUAUUCCGGAGAGGGAGCCUGAGAAACGGCUACCACAUCCAAGGAAGGCAGCAGGCGCGCAAAUUACCCAAUCCCGAUACGGGGAGGUAGUGACAAUAAAUACUGAUACAGGGCUCUUUUGGGUCUUGUAAUUGGAAUGAGUACAAUUUAAAUCCCUUAACGAGGAACAAUUGGAGGGCAAGUCUGGUGCCAGCAGCCGCGGUAAUUCCAGCUCCAAUAGCGUAUAUUAAAGUUGUUGCAGUUAAAAAGCUCGUAGUUGAACCUUGGGCCUGGCUGGCCGGUCCGCCUCACCGCGUGUACUGGUCCGGCCGGGCCUUUCCUUCUGGGGAGCCGCAUGCCCUUCACUGGGCGUGUCGGGGAACCAGGACUUUUACUGUGAAAAAAUUAGAGUGUUCAAAGCAGGCCUUUGCUCGAAUACAUUAGCAUGGAAUAAUAGAAUAGGACGUGCGGUUCUAUUUUGUUGGUU